rnacentral:rRNA from 1 species
CACGUAGGGCGCAAGCGUUGUCCGGAAUUAUUGGGCGUAAAGAGCUCGUAGGUGGUUUGUUACGUCUGCUGUGAAAACCUAGGGCUUAACCCUGGGCUUGCAGUGGAUACGGGCAGACUAGAGGUAGGUAGGGGAGAAUGGAAUUCCUGGUGUAGCGGUGGAAUGCGCAGAUAUCAGGAGGAACACCAAUAGCGAAGGCAGCUCGCUGGGACGGUACUGACACUGAGGCGCGAAAGCGUGGGGAGCGAACAGG